GACGUAGGGCGCGAGCGUUGUCCGGAUUUAUUGGGCGUAAAGAGCUCGUAGGCGGCUUGUUGCGUCGACUGUGAAAACCCGCGGCUUAACCGCGGGCUUGCAGUUGAUACGGGCAGGCUAGAGUUCGGUAGGGGAGACUGGAAUUCCUGGUGUAGCAGUGAAAUGCGCAGAUAUCAGGAGGAACACCGGUGGCGAAGGCGGGUCUCUGGGCCGAUACUGACGCUGAGGAGCGAAAGCGUGGGGAGCGAACAGG
rnacentral:rRNA from 1 species